rnacentral:rRNA from 1 species
UGGGGAAUAUUGGACAAUGGGCGCAAGCCUGAUCCAGCCAUGCCGCGUGAGUGAUGAAGGCCUUAGGGUUGUAAAGCUCUUUCGCCGGUGAAGAUAAUGACGGUAACCGGAGAAGAAGCCCCGGCUAAACUUCGUGCCAGCAGCCGCGGUAAUACGAAGGGGGCUAGCGUUGCUCGGAAUCACUGGGCGUAAAGCGCACGUAGGCGGAUCGUUAAGUCAGGGGUGAAAUCUGGAGCUCAACUCCAGAACUGCCCUUGAUACUGGCGAUCUCGAGUUCGAGAGAGGUUGGUGGAAACUCCGGAGUGUAGAGGUGAAAUUCGUAGAUAUUCGGAAGAACACCAGUGGCGAAGGCGGCCAACUGGCUCGAUACUGACGCUGAGGUGCGAAAGCGUGGGGAGCAAAACAGGAUUAGAUACCCUGGUAGUCCACGCCGUAAACGAUGGAUGCUAGCCGUUGGGGGGUUUACCUCUCAGUGGCGCAGCUAACGCCUUAAGCAUCCCGCCUGGGGAGUACGGUCGCAAGAUUAAAACUCAAAGGAAUUGACGGGGUCAUAGCUGUUUCCU